GUUAAAUUUAACUCAUCGUCUCCACCAGCAGUGAAGUCAUAGAGUGCCUUUCCUGAUUGUGGAUUUCCAGAAGAAAGUCGUUCCUCAUCCUCAGAUUCAAAACUCUGGGACCCACGAGAAGCUAAAGGAUUCUCAAAUGACUCGUACCUCUGCAUAACAGAUGAUGCAUAUGAUGGAGGCUCUUCUCUAAUCGGAGACCCUGUCUCAUAAAUUGAUGAGGAGCCACCAUACCUUCUUCCCCCUGACCUCUCCGAGCUCUGUGAUGCUCCAUAAUUGGUUGGCUUUGAACUGAACAGUGAUGGGUAGCUCAUUCCACCAAAGUGGGAUGAUAUGGAAGUUUCAACAGAUCCUGUUGAGUCUGGGGAAGAUGUCCCAGAUGACCUCCCAUCAUCUUCCUCCAAUUCUGAAGGCUCCAAUAGUGUCUUUGCCCACAUAUCAUCAUAGCUAACUGAAGGUCUAGAGAUUAUAUUCUCUUCUUCAACAUCGGGAGCAUCAGUUCCAAUACCAGCAAGAAAUUCAUUGACCCUAUUCAUUGCAGGUGCACUGUUUCCCAAUAACCCAUCAUCACCAAGAUUUGCUGCCCAGGCAUUCACCAAGUCAUCAUCAAGUGCAUCAGACUCAACAGGAGGUGGCUUAGAUUCAUAAAUUAGGUCAGAAAUUCCAGUGGCAACAGCUGGGUCACUUAAACCAGUUGAUGCACUUAUGUUGUGCUUUGUACGGUAGACAUCAAUAAGUUUUGCACUUAUUGGCCCCAAAGGUAGAUACUUUGCUCGGGGAACAUAACAAAAUAAUGAAACGAGAUCUAGCAACCGUUCAUGGGUUUCAUAAAGUUUCUUCAACUCUUCAUCCGUCCAUUCUUUAUUUGUGUUAUCGUGGUUGCGUAUAUCCUUGAUCAGUUCAUCUUGUGCUCUGUACAUUUCAUCAAGAACCUUUAUCAUAGGACUAAUUAAGAAUCCAAGGCCUGUACCACUGGCUCCUUGAUCUUCCCCAUUACUGGGAUGGAUUUCUGAUAGUUGAGACUGCACACCACCAUGUGCUAAUGCAUUUAGGAAUUCAUAAAUCUGCAGUCUAAAAGGCUCACCAGACCUGAUUGCCAUGGUUGUGAGGGCUUGAGCAGCAACAAUCCGAACCUCCCAGCUCCCGCUGAAAGCACACCUCUGUAGUCGAGUCAGUGCACCAGCUAGAGUAGGAUUACGGGAACUGGCAGCAGCAACCAUUUUAUCUGCAUCCAGCAUCAUCAAUGCAGUACCAGGAGGAGUUGCAGAUUCCCAAGCAUAUUCAGAAGCAGCAUAAUUUGCAUUUUCCCCAAGGAACCAUACUGCUGCUUGAACUAAUCUCUGUAACGCCAGAGCUGACUUUGGAUCAGAUGCUGAUACCCUAUCCACUGAUGUUAGUCUUGACAUUGACCCAGGUUGUGGUGGUGGUAGGUCAAGAACUAUAGUCACUGCUUCCAAGGCUGUGUGCUUCCCAUCAGGACCAGCGCCAACAAGGCAUGUUUUCCAAAGCAGUUGUAACACAUCAGCAUCAAUCUUCCCUGGAACUUUCGUAGCAAAGAUCCUUGCAAUUUCAAGCAGAGUGACAGCCAUAUCAGGAGUUGCCUUAAAACGAGCAUGCAGGGUGAGCAAAAUAUCAUUGAGCAGUGUGGCUGGCCAAGCUGGAUCAGAAAGCUCUGAUGCAAUAAUGGAUCCCAGUUCAUCAAAUGAUUCAUGUGGAACUUGCAUCCAUAUCAAUGCCUUAAUCACCAUUGCUCGAACAUAGACACAUUCACAGGCUACAGUUGUCCGCACUACCUCCAUUAAUGAAGCCAAUAAGCCCGCAAUUGUAUCCUUACCACCUGUUCCACUAGAUACAGAAGAGGUCCUUCGGACACCAGUUGCAUAUGGGUUUUCAUUAAAAGCUGUAUCAUCUACUGCCUCAGAAUGCGUAUUCACAUUAACUCCUUCAUCAAUAUCUUGCAAGCCUAGAGCAAAGGCAGCAGCACGACUUUUUCCCAUCUCCUGCACAACUCUUGCUGCUGCAUGAAGUACUGGCCUGGAAAAACUACGGAAAGCACUCUCCAACCUCCUCAUUACAAGCUUAAUAAGUGGCUGUGGACGUCUUGUUUUUUGAGAUUUAUCCUUGGAAGCUUUUGAUGAAUCAUUUGAUUCAGCAGUGGAUCCCUUUGAUGAGACAGAUGGUGCUUCUGGCAACUUCAAAAUCUCCCUGGUCAAGCGAUACCAUCCAGCAGCCCGUUCUUCAGUCCUCUCAGCGUUAUCACAUUUGCCCAAUACACAUAAGAUAGCCUCAAAACAGACCCUUUCACUGGGAUCUAGCAGGAGUUGAUAGAGCACCGAGUUGAACUGAGAUUUAAUGUCAGGCCUCUCAUCUAGUGCACGAGCUCUAGAUAUGGUAUGGCAUAGCCUGGCCAGUGAAACUCUAGCAAGCACAUCAUGCAAAUGAAGAACAUCCUGCAACGCCCCUCCAGGAAGUACAAGUUUUCCUAAUGACAUUGCAACUGCAUAAGGAUCCUUUGUUGCCAAUUCGGAGAUGAUUUCUAAAGCAUGUCUCACAGCAAUAGGAUCCGAGAAUGAAAGCCCCUGCACAGCACGAUGCAAGAAGGCUGGGUUUCCAGGAUCCAGAGGAAGUCUUCUCAGUGCACUUAGAGCAGCAUAUUGUAAAUUACUCCGGAUGAUAGACUCCUUAUCACCACCUUUAGUCCCAAACACACCUUUCUUUCGCUUUUGAGGCGCAUCAGCAACCUUAUCAAGAAUGCCAAAUACAAUCUCAUACAAUCGGGUUAAAAUAUUAGUGUUACUUGCAGAAGCGUAAGUAAGUGCCUUCAAAGCUUGCAAUCUCCGAGCAUGAAAUUCAAUAUCAGCAUUUGAAGCUUCCGCUGAAAGUUGUUCUACUAUUCUUGGCACAACAUCAGCUCUGGUCACGCCUCCAACAGCAUCAAUAUCAGCCAAAGCAUCCCAAUUAGGAGUUGGGAUGCCACCACCUGAACUUAGACCUUGAGCACCAGUAUCAGAUAAAAUUCUAGCCAGGUAAUAGUAGACAUAGCGUAAGAUAGUCCUAUCUUCACACUGUUGAUUCAAC
rnacentral:misc_RNA from 1 species